rnacentral:rRNA from 1 species
AGCUGAGUUUGAUCCUGGCUCAGAUUGAACGCUGGCGGCAGGCCUAACACAUGCAAGUCGAGCGGAUGAAGGGAGCUUGCUCCUGGAUUCAGCGGCGGACGGGUGAGUAAUGCCUAGGAAUCUGCCUGGUAGUGGGGGGCAACGUUUCGAAAGGAAAGCUAAUACCGCAUACGUCCUACGGGAGAAAGCAGGGGACCUUCGGGCCUUGCGCUAUCAGAUGAGCCUAGGUCGGAUUAGCUAGUUGGUGAGGUAAUGGCUCACCGAAGGCGACGAUCCGUAACUGGUCUGAGAGGAUGAUCAGUCACACUGGAACUGAGACACGGUCCAGACUCCGUAC